rnacentral:rRNA from 1 species
AGAGUAGAAACAAAACUCAGCCUGAACGCUGGCGGCGUGGCUAAGACAUGCAAGUCGCACGGGGUAGCAAUACCCAGUGGCGAACGGGUGAGUAAUGAAUCGCUAACGUACCCCGGACUCCGGGAUAGCCAUCCGAAAGGGUGGGUAAUACCGGAUGACAUACCCUGCCGGCAUCGGCGGGGUCUCAAAGGUCCGCCGGUCUGGGAGCGGGCGAUUUCGUAUCAGCUAGUUGGUGGGGUAACGGCCCACCAAGGCGACGACGCGUAGCCGGACUGAGAGGUUGGCCGGCCACAUUGGGACUGAGACACUGCCCAGACUCCUACGGGGGGCUGCAGUAACGAAUCUUCCGCAAUGCACGAAAGUGUGACGGAGCGACGCCGCGUGUGGGACGAAGCCCUUCGGGGUGUAAACCACUGUCAGGGGUUACCAAGUCCUGAGGAGCCCCAGAGGAAGGCACGGCUAACUCUGUGCCAGCAGCCGCGGUAAAGACAGAGGUGCCGAGCGUUAGGCGGAAUCACUGGGCUUAAAGCGUGUGUAGGCGGACCGUUAAGUACCUUGUGAAAUCCCACGGCUCAACCGUGGAACUGCUCGGUAUACUGGCGGUCUUGAGCUGCUUAGGGGUCGUUCGGAACAAACGGUGGAGCGGUGAAAUGCGUAGAUUUCGUUUGGAACGCCAACGGGUGAAAACAGACGACUGGGAGCACGCUGACGCUGAGACACGAAAGCCAGGGGGAGCGAACGGGGAUAGAUACCCCCGGUAGUCCU